UUUCUUCCCUUGUCAAAAAAUAACCCACUUUCAUACCAAAACACACUUAAACCAACAUAAAACUGUGUUUUUUCUGAGUUUUUCUUAGCGGAAGUUGGUUUUUGCUAAUAAAAGUGAGUUUUAUGUGCGCUAAACUGUGCUUAACUGAGUUUAAAGUUGGUUAUUUUAAGAAGAUGUGUGUUUAAGCGAGUUUUUUUCAGUAAGAAGUCGGUUUUUUGUGUGUCAAAAGUGAGCCUUUUUAUUUAUGAGUUGGUUUAUGUGUGUUUAAGUGUGUCUUUUUGUUUUAUAAGCGAGUCUUUUACAACAGAAGUUGGUCUUUUUUUAAACAGAAGUGGGUUUAAGCGAGUUUAACUUGGUCUUUUUGUAAAUAAGUUGAGAGCUGCAACGAGGCUUAAAGACUCACUUUAACACACUUUUCAACAAGUUGGUCUUUUGUUUAUUAAUAUAACUCAUCAAUGAAACAAUAAUUCUUCAACUGGGUCUUUGUUUGAUGUUUAUAGCCAUAAAUAAAACAAGUCAAUUGUAAAGGGGCUUUUUUUACAGCUUGUUUGCCAUUGUCCCUAUUGUACAUUUGUGUGCUCCCCAUAAUUUUUAGGGAAUAUUGGAUGAAAAUGGCUCUUUCAGAACAUCACAGGUUCACAGAUGGACAACAAGUAUCACUGACAAAAACUAACAAUGGUCAAGCUUAGUUUUAUACAUGAAAAUGAAAGAGUUUGUGUUUCACUUUGAAUUUUUUCUUUAUGUUUGUUUUUAUUAUAAACAAUAUCCUAUGAUUGUUUUAUGUCUUAAUUUUUUAUUUUUUUUUAAACAAUCUCAUAUGAUUGUUUAUAUUUGUUUAAAACAGUAUUUACUUGUAAAAUCUGCAUAUUUAAAUAAUUAUGGUAUUGGAAACAUUAUUUUGGAAAUAAUCUAUUUAUUUUUGUACAUAAGUUAUGCAAGAUUUUGAUAUUUGCAUAUGAUACCAUCAUAUCAAUUUUCUUAAUUUGGAAUAAAAUAAUAAAAUGCCAAACAUUACCUGUGUUACAUAAACUGUCAACAAAAUAACAAGACAAUACCUUAAAACACCCUUAUUUCACACCACUAACAAUAAACAGAUAACAAUCUGUCAGGCAUUCAGAGCUAAACAGGGUACUGAUUAUCUAGGGGUAGAUAAGGCUACUGAUGGGGUCCUAGAGAUAAGGCUGUGUGGAAUAAGAUAUAAGGCUUUUGAUUGGCUAUUGCACUGAGGAAGUUAUCUUUUUGAAAACAACAACUUUUGAAAAACAAGCUGGUGUCAGCAACUGAAUAUUGAGCUAAAUUUAAUUCAGCAACAUUAAUAUAAAGAAGUGAAAGACUUAUAAUGGUAGUGUAAAAUGUCUUGAAAUUCUGUCAGCAUGAAGUAUUGUGUGAUGAAAACAAUGUGUUUUUUACUGCAAUGUGGAAAUCAAUAAUAAGUUGGUUGGAAAGGAGGUUGAACUGCCUGUUGUUGUUUUUGGAAUACUGAAGAACAGUUUUAACAGGUUUGUAUUGUCAUUUCUUCACCCCUUUUUUUAUUUAGUUUAUUGAAUUAAUUAUGAUCAUUAUCAUAUUUAUGUAUUGUCACUGGGAAAUGUAAAUGGAUAAGUUAUUGUAUUGCAAUUUAAAGGAAAAACAACACAUUUUGAAGCAAAAAUAGAUAAACUUACACAUGAAAAAGUGUAAAUGUUGUGUACAGUGAAUAAUUAUGGUUGUGUUUCAUGGUUAUUGUCAUCUAAAAUUUUAUUUAUAUCUAUUUCUGGUUAUUACUGAACGGAUUUCUUUCCCUCUUACUUAAUUAGAACUUAUAUAUUUUAAUUUUGAAGGUUAAACUCUUGCCACAAGGCAAAAUUGACAUCGUUGGGAAGAUCCUUUGGAAAGAAUGUGCAUCAUCGCCUGCCUGAUGUAUGGACUUUUAAACCUGGUUUUUACCCUGCACAAGCUGGCAAACUUGAGGGGAACAAGAGUGGGAAAACCUCGCCCUGUCCUUGACCAAGAAAGCUCGAUUUGUUGAGAGAUCAACUGGCAUAAGAGAUGCUCAAGAGGAGAAGGACACAAGCAGCAUCAAUGGAACAACUACAUGUCGCUCCAGCGCCCGCUUUCCAGGUCUCUACCAGCUGCUUUCCAGGUCCCUCCACCCGCCAAGAUCAGGUCUAGGUCCCUGCACUGGCUGCUUUCCAGGUCCCCUAGCGGUCAAGGUCUCUCCAGUAGCUGCUGUGCAGGUCCCAACACCGUAUGCCGUCAAGGUCCCUCCUUAAGCUGAAAUCCAGGUUCCUCAUUCCACUGCGGUUCAGGUACCUCCAACAGCUGAGAUCCAGGUCUCUGCAGCAGCUGCGGUCUAAAUACUCCACCCGCAGUGGUCCAUUGCGGUCAAACUUUUGCUUUAAAAUCUUCCAUAAAUGUCUAUUAUUUUAUAAUGUAUUGUAAAAAUAAUCUGUUAGUAUUAAUUUGCGGUGUACUAUUUUUGUCAUAUAAACAUAAUUUUCGUA